UACGAAGGGGGCUAGCGUUGCUCGGAAUCACUGGGCGUAAAGCGCACGUAGGCGGACUCUUAAGUCAGGGGUGAAAUCCUGGAGCUCAACUCCAGAACUGCCUUUGAUACUGGGAGUCUUGAGUUCGGGAGAGGUGAGUGGAACUGCGAGUGUAGAGGUGAAAUUCGUAGAUAUUCGCAAGAACACCAGUGGCGAAGGCGGCUCACUGGCCCGGUACUGACGCUGAGGUGCGAAAGCGUGGGGAGCAA
rnacentral:rRNA from 1 species